CAAAAAUCAGCAUUCUCAUUGGAUAAGGUUAGGAAGUACCUCCUUUAUUUCCAUAUGUUUCACCCGUGUUUCACCCGUGUUGUGUCUGUUGUGUAUGACCCAGCAUUCACUUCUUGACACACAAACUUUCCAGGAGAGAGAAGAGCUCCAUCAGUCUAGGUCGUCCCCUGUUCCAGUGCUGUAUCUGUGUGGAGCGCUACCUGGCAGUGGUCCACCCUGUUGUCUACCUGAGGGCUCAACUGCAAAAGAGAUUGUGGUUUCAAGAUGACUCCCUGCUACCUCUCUGGGACAGGCGGGACGCAAAUGUCCUACCUGGCCAAUUGCCAGGGAUAAUGCAGAGCUCCAAAUUCAAAUAAAAUAUUAUAAAAUUCUAACUUUCAUUAAAUCACACAUGUAAGAUACCAAAUUAAAGCUACACUCGUUGUGAAUCCAGCCAACAUG